CAGCAGCCGCGGUAAAACGGAGGGGGCUAGCGUUGUUCGGAAUUACUGGGCGUAAAGCGUACGUAGGCGGCUUUGUAAGUUAGAGGUGAAAGCCUGGAGCUCAACUCCAGAAUUGCCUUUAAGACUGCAUCGCUUGAACGUCGGAGAGGUGAGUGGAAUUCCGAGUGUAGAGGUGAAAUUCGUAGAUAUUCGGAAGAACACCAGUGGCGAAGGCGGCUCACUGGACGACUGUUGACGCUGAGGUACGAAAGCGUGGGGAGCAAACAGGAUUAGAUACCCCUGUAGUCCCUGUCUCUUAUAC
rnacentral:rRNA from 1 species